AACGAACGCUGGCGGCAGGCCUAACACAUGCAAGUCGAGCGAGGACUUCGGUUCUAGCGGCGGACGGGUGAGUAACGCGUGGGAAUGUGCCCUUCUCUACGGAAUAGCCCUGGGAAACUGGGAGUAAUACCGUAUACGCCCUUUUGGGGAAAGAUUUAUCGGAGAAGGAUCAGCCCGCGUUGGAUUAGGUAGUUGGUGGGGUAAUGGCCUACCAAGCCGACGAUCCAUAGCUGGUUUGAGAGGAUGAUCAGCCACACUGGGACUGAGACACGGCCCAGACUCCUACGGGAGGCAGCAGUGGGGAAUCUUAGACAAUGGGGGCAACACUGAGCGAGCCAUGCCGCGUGAGUGAUGAAGGCCUUAGGGUUGUAAAGCUCUUUCAGCUGGGAAGAUAAUGACGGUACCAGCAGAAGAAGCCCCGGCUAACUCCGUG
rnacentral:rRNA from 1 species